GAUAACCGAAGAUCACGCCAGGGUCGAGGGUGGGGUUCGUGAUCAAACGAACGUCGCCACCGCCGGGGGCCCAGGUGUCGUAGACGCCGCCGAAAAACAUGGCCUUAAAGACCAGCAGCAAGCAGCCGACACCAAGAAGGAUCAGGUGAUAACCAAUGAUGUUGGUCAUCUGGUUUUUGUCGCGCCA
rnacentral:antisense_RNA from 1 species